CUUUUCUAAAUGUUCCGCUUGAUUUAUAUGUCAACAAUUGUGGAACUUUGAAAUCCUAUUUUUCAAUACCUGUAGCAAAAUAAUAUACCAGCGAUCAGUAUUAUUAUAUUUGCCAUUUAUCAAGGACAUGGAACAUCACUCGGAGAAAGGAAGGGAGGGAAGAAUAAAGCUAAAUAAAAAAGGCAAACGCUGGAGGCCCUAAGAGGCACUCGUGUGAUAGGUCCAAGGAUAGGUCACUUCGAAACAAAUCUGACGUUGAUUCCCUCGUACUGUGAAAUGCUGACGCUGAAAAUCAAAUAUGGGCUGUGUCUUUCAUUAGAUUUCUAAAUUCCCUGAAAAAUAAAUAUAUGAAUAAAAAAUCAAUGGAAAAAAUG